UACGUAGGGGGCAAGCGUUGUCCGGAUUUAUUGGGCGUAAAGAGCGUGUAGGCGGUCAGGUAGGUCCGUUGUGAAAACUCGAGGCUCAACCUCGAGACGCCGAUGGAAACCAUCUGACUAGAGUCCGGAAGAGGAGAGUGGAAUUCCCAGUGUAGAGGUGAAAUUCGUAGAUAUUGGGAAGAACACCGGUGGCGAAGGCGGCGCUCUGGACCGAGACUGACGCUGAGGCGCGAAGGCGUGGGGAGCAAACAGG
rnacentral:rRNA from 1 species